AUGGUUGCAAGCACUAGCAAGAAAAAUACAAGACAUGGAAGAGAUGACAACGUAAGGACUUCUUCAAUAAUUGACAUCAAUGAUACUCCUACAUUAGAUGAUGUGGAUGAAAGAGAGAACACUGUCAAUGACGAGGAAGAAUUAGCCAGUGAAGAUGCUGAUGGCGAUCAACCACAAAUAAGUGAAUCAAGUGCAAAAGGGAAAAAAACUAAGAAACAAAAAGGUGCCACAUCUGUACAGCGGCUUGAAGAUUUCAUGAUGGCUUAUGCGAAUUUCAAGAAAGAUCAAGCUUCCAAGAAGGAAAAAGUGUCACAGCAAGGAAAACAACCCUCAAUUGCAGAAUGCUUGCAGGUCUUGAAUGACAUGGAUGAUGUUCCCGACGAGGUCAAAAUCUUUGCCUCUGAUGUUUUCAAGGAUGCAGCAAAUCGUGAGAUUUUCCUGGGUUACAACUCAAGAUUGCGGAGUAUGUGGCUAAAGAAGGAAGUCGACAAGAUUAGUCCUCAGCCUCCUCCUUUUUGUAAGGCUUAG
rnacentral:rRNA from 1 species